AUGGUAGAGGCGCGAUCAACAUCAGUACGCUCUUGUCAUCCGGCAGACACCGGGGAGCGGAAAGGGGCGAUCGCCGAAGGGUCUCACCGCUGUCUGGCGGUGGAUACCUGGGACGCGGGAGAACAUUCCGCGGACUGUCACUUCGGUGGAGAGCUGUC
rnacentral:ncRNA from 1 species